rnacentral:rRNA from 1 species
UACGUAGGUGGCAAGCGUUGUCCGGAUUUACUGGGCGUAAAGAGCGCGCAGGCGGUCGUACAAGUCGCGUGUGAAAGCCCCCGGCUCAACUGGGGAGGGUCACGCGAUACUGUUCGACUCGAAGGCAGGAGAGGGAAGUGGAAUUCCCGGUGUAGUGGUGAAAUGCGUAGAUAUCGGGAGGAACACCAGUGGCGAAGGCGACUUCCUGGCCUGUUCUUGACGCUGAGGCGCGAAAGCUAGGGGAGCAAACAGG